rnacentral:rRNA from 1 species
AACGAACGCUGGCGGCAUGCCUAACACAUGCAAGUCGAACGAGACCUUCGGGUCUAGUGGCGCACGGGUGCGUAACGCGUGGGAACCUGCCCUUAGGUUCGGAAUAACUCCCCGAAAGGGGUGCUAAUACCGGAUAAUGUCUUCGGACCAAAGAUUUAUCGCCUUUGGAUGGGCCCGCGUUGGAUUAGCUAGUUGGUAGGGUAAAAGCCUACCAAGGCGACGAUCCAUAGCUGGUCUGAGAGGAUGAUCAGCCACACUGGGACUGAGACACGGCCCAGACUCCUACGGGAAGCAGCAGUGGGGAAUAUUGGACAAUGGGCGAAAGCCUGAUCAAGCAAUGCCGCGUGAGUGAUGAAGGCCUUAGGGUUGUAAAGCUCUUUUACCCGGGAUGAUAAUGACAGUACCGGGAGAAUAAGCUCCGGCUAACUCCGUG